rnacentral:rRNA from 1 species
AUUGAACGCUGGCGGCAUGCCUUACACAUGCAAGUCGAACGGCAGCACGGGUGCUUGCACCUGGUGGCGAGUGGCGAACGGGUGAGUAAUACAUCGGAACAUGUCCUGUAGUGGGGGAUAGCCCGGCGAAAGCCGGAUUAAUACCGCAUACGAUCUACGGAUGAAAGCGGGGGACCUUAGGGCCUCGCGCUAUCGGGUUGGCCGAUGGCUGAUUAGCUAGUUGGUGGGGUAAAGGCCUACCAAGGCGACGAUCAGUAGCUGGUCUGAGAGGACGACCAGCCACACUGGGACUGAGACACGGCCCAGACUCCUACGGGAGGCAGCAGUGGGGAAUUUUGGACAAUGGGCGAAAGCCUGAUCCAGCAAUGCCGCGUGUGUGAAGAAGGCCUUCGGGUUGUAAAGCACUUUUGUCCGGAAAGAAAUCCUUGGCCCUAAUACGGUCGGGGGAUGACGGUACCGGAAGAAUAAGCACCGGCUAACUACGUG